UGGGGAAUAUUGCGCAAUGGGGGAAACCCUGACGCAGCAACGCCGCGUGAGUGAAGAAGGCCUUUGGGUUGUAAAGCUCUUUCGGCCGGGAAGAAGGGUGGCUGUGUGAAUAGCAUAGUCAUUUGAUGGUACCGGAAUAAGAAGCACCGGCUAACUUCGUGCCAGCAGCCGCGGUAAUACGAAGGGUGCAAGCGUUGUUCGGAAUUAUUGGGCGUAAAGGGUUCGUAGGCUGGAAGCUAAGUCAAUUGUGAAAUCCCCGAGCUUAACUUGGGACGUGCAGUUGAAACUGGUUUUCUUGAGUAUUGGAGAGGGUGGUGGAAUUGCUGGUGUAGGAGUGACAUCCGUAGAGAUCAGCAGGAACACCAGAGGCGAAGGCGACCACCUGGCCAAUAACUGACGCUGAGGAACGAAAGCGUGGGGAGCAAACAGG
rnacentral:rRNA from 1 species